rnacentral:rRNA from 1 species
GACGAACGCUGGCGGCGUGCCUAAUACAUGCAAGUAGAACGCUGAAGGAGGAGCUUGCUUCUCUGGAUGAGUUGCGAACGUGUGAGUAACGCGUAUGUAACCUUCCUGGUAGCGGGGGAUAACUAUUGGAAACGAUAGCUAAUACCGCAUAAUAGUAUAUGUUGCAUGACAUUUUCUUAAAAGUUGCAAUUUCAUCACUACCAUAUGGACCUUCGUUGUAUUAUCUUGUUGGUGGGGUAACGGCUCACCAAGGCGACGAUACAUAGCCGACCUGAGAGGGUGAUCGGCCAAAAUGGGAAUGAGACACGGGCCAGACACCUACGGGAGGCAGCAGUAGGGAAUCUUCGGCAAUGGACGGAAGUCUGACCGAGCAACGCCGCGUGAGUGAAGAAGGUUUUCGGAUCGUAAAGCUCUGUUGUAAGAGAAGAACGAGUGUGAGAGUGGAAAGUUCACACUGUGACGGUAUCUUACCAGAAAGGGACGGCUAACUACGUG